ACGUGUAUGGUGACAAUGGUUAACAUAGGCAGUCCCAACCUGUCAGAUGUAGGUUCGAUUCCUACUACACGUG
rnacentral:tRNA from 1 species